rnacentral:rRNA from 1 species
GACGAACGCUGGCGGCGUGCUUAACACAUGCAAGUCGUACGGUAAGGCCCUUUCGGGGGUACACGAGUGGCGAACGGGUGAGUAACACGUGAGUAACCUGCCCACAACUUUGGGAUAACGCUAGGAAACUGGUGCUAAUACUGGAUAUGUGCUCCUGCUGCAUGGUGGGGGUUGGAAAGCUCCGGCGGUUGUGGAUGGACUCGCGGCCUAUCAGCUUGUUGGUGGGGUAGUGGCCUACCAAGGCGGCGACGGGUAGCCGGCCUGAGAGGGUGACCGACCACAUUGGGACUGAGAUACGGCCCAGACUCCUACGGGAGGCAGCAGUGGGGAAUAGUGCACAAUGGGCGCAAGCCUGAUGCAGCAACGCCGCGUGCGGGAUGACGGCCUUCGGGUUGUAAACCGCUUUCAGCAGGGACGAAGCUUUUUGUGACGGUACCUGCAGAAGAAGCACCGGCUAACUACGUG